AUGAUCGAAGUGGGCGAUUUCGGAGAAAUUCUGUCGGAUGACACCGUGCACGCUCUUCAGUUACUGGAUCCACCAGCAGCACAGGAGCCAGAGUGCUGCUCACUAUCGCGUCAGGCACUGUCGGGUGAAGAAACUCCAUCUACAAUUCGCCUACGAGCACAAGUGGGGGAUCAGAUCAUGUUACUCUUGGUGGAUUCGGGCAGCACUCACAGUUUCAUCAGCGAGACCUUCCUCAAACGGCUACAAGUUCAGACAGAGAGCUUGCCGCCAGUUUCAGUAUGCGUCGCCAACGGCCAACGACUGCUGUGCAAUCAACUAGUUCGAGGAUUGCAAUGGCAAGUGCCCGAUCACACUUUCCACACGGAUAUGCGAGUGUUGCUGCUCAGCGCUUACGAUGGAGUGCUGGGCAUCGACUGGCUGGCUGCGCACAGUCCCAUGAACUGUCAUUGGCAGGAGAAAACCAUAGCAUUCGAGACAGAAGGCAAACAGGUUCACUUACAAGGCUUCCGAACUUCUGAUCUUCCUCCCAUAGCAGAACUUGAUGCUUACGAAUUACAUCGCAUGGAGGUUUGCAAUGACAUUUGGACUGCAGCUCUGGUUACAGUUGAGCGAACUGACAAACCCGAGCCGGCACCCACACCACCCAGCAUUCAGAAGCUGCUAUCUGAAUAUGCGGACGUGUUCACUGAACCCAAAGUACUGCCUCCCAAACGGCAGUACGAUCAUGCGAUCAAUCUGGAGCCCGGCACAACUCCGAUUAACACCAGGCCCUACCUCUACUCGCCAGCACAGAAAGACGAGAUC
rnacentral:rRNA from 1 species